rnacentral:lncRNA from 1 species
ACCUAUAGCAGAGCAGUACUGUCCUACUAUAGUGCAGCCGGUGCCAAGUGGCGGCAGCGCUGCCCCAAUCCACAAUAAUUGCUAGUGCUACUGGCCGGAUGUCUGUUGCAUCUCUGGUCAAAUCUGCAUGAUUUGGCUUUUAGUUUGGAAUUGCAUGUGAUGUGCGUGUGUUGGCGAUUAUGUAAAGUUCUUUGGGGGUGUGAUCGUUUGAACUGUCUACCAAUAAAAAAGCUCUAUUUACAUUCAUGAUUUGCGAGGAUGCACUCUCUUCCUUAUUUAUUUUUGUUUGGUAAUAAAUAUGUAGUGAUCUAAACUAUUCUUAUGGAGUAUAUUUGUUUAUGGAGGGAGUACUAGACUUUAAUGAUGGGAGACCGGGAGGGGCAUCGAGUGAAGAUCCACACUUCUGUCAUAAGUAACAGGAAAGAGAGAUCAUUUGUCUAGCGGGGCUAAUACGAUAAUUUAGCGAUCAAACUUGCAUAUGGAAAACUAGACCAAACGCAGAGUACGUUGACAUUUUACAAGAGAGAAACCACACCUCUAUUGUUAAAACACAUUUAUAAGCAUGCAUUCCACAUUACCCACUCUUGUUUUACGUAGCAUCUCACAAAGCCUCACUCUUUGCAUGCAACCAUAAAUGUCUUCCAGAACCAUGACUAUGCCUAAAACAAACUGUGGUUGGAUGGUUAGGAGGACAGUGAUAUUAAACUGUGGCUCAUAUUAUUUUUGGACUUAUUUUAGGAUUUUCGGCAAUGCACGUUUAGUGGGAUGAGACGGUCCCAUCGACUAUGAAGCGUUUGUAGUGACUUCGUCAAUCUGAAGAUGAUAUGUCGUAUGUAUUGUCUUCUAAAAAAAAGAACCACGAGUGUGCCUUUUUGACACAACAUUUCACAAAUUCACACUUCGGUUCAGGAACCACACCAACGCACUUUUCUUUCUCGGGGGGAAACCAACGCACUUUUUGACAUCACAUGUCACUGACUACACUUUUAGUUGUAGCUGUGAAUAUUAGACCUAUCAAAACAUUUUAUAUUUUGAAAUGGAGGUAGUAUUUGAUGGCAAAACAGUGUGCAUAGUGAAAUGCAUGAUACACUAAUUUAAUAAUAUUCGGUUGACUUUUCUUGCGCUAAUAAUAGUCAAAACAAAUUCGGCUAUCAAGUUACACGGUGGCUAUUUAGCAACUACAAGCACUAGUUGUUGUGUCGCUGCCUAUCCAGUAAUGGAGUUUCUAAAGACGGCGUAAAGUUGGUGAUAAAAUGAUUGGACAUACUUUUUUUAAUAGGCAUUUACACCACAAAGAUCAGAAAAGGAUUCGAAUAAAAACAAGUACAUGAGGAGUAAGUCCGAGACUUUUACAAGGACCCUAAACUUUAAUUUGGAAAUGCAAUGGGUUCAAACACAACUUUCACCCAGAUCGAGCCUCGCCGUCGUUGGAGAUGAAUCACUUGGGUCGACGAGACCUUCGUAGCUGUGACAACAUGCCGAGCAAAAGAUUACCACACCCUCCCAUACGACAUCUAGGGCGGGAGAAUGAGUCAGUAGCCCACCAAACACAAAGCAGUGGCACAGGGUGUGUUCAAGAAUGUGAUGUGGUCGAACUGGCCGAAAACAGCGAGCCGGCGGAGGGGAACAAGCAAUACUAGGGGAAGGACAUGGUGGUGGCGAUUGAGAGGCCCAUGGUGAUGGAGAUGUUCCGGUGGUACGAUGCGUUCGCCACUGAAAUGAAGGAGAUACGCUAGAGCUGGCAGUGACAUUCACUUCGCUGAUGAGGGCCAAGGCGGGGUGACUAACUAUAGUAGUGUCAAGUAAGGUGGUGGCAUUAUUAAGAUUAGGAUGCCGCAAUAAUUAGUACCAGCUAAUGUGUGUUGCCUGUGGGGGUCUAAUUUGCAUGGUUUAGUUGCAUUUGCAUGUGAUGUGCUGCCACUUAUGUGUGUGCGCGCGCGUGCGCAUGUGUUGACGUGCGGUUUGUUGUGUGAGGUUUGGGAUGUGGUUUGAACUAUGCAAUAAAAGGGUGGAUUCAUGAGUUGCCAGGAUGUACUCUCUCCCUAAUUGAUUUAUAUUUCGUAAACAAAUAUUGUUAGGUUUCCUAUUGUGGUAGCAAUCCUUUUUUUCUCUUUUUCUUUCUCGGUGUUGUGUGACAAGAGAGGCCUUUUAUCGAGCGCUCAUUAAUAUCCUUGGGCUGGGUGUUAACUUUCGGCCAUCAAUAUUUACGCAGUGUCUUAAGUUAUUUGGGAGCAACUAAUUAAGGGUGCCUUGGAUGAGCUUUUCAGAUGGUGUUCUCAUGCACAAAGAGGAGCACUCCCCAUCUGACACAUGUCAUGUGUGGAAAGCAUUCUCGGGCGAGAGUUUUUGCUCCAUAUUUUCUUGGUUUCCCUCUUUUUUUCUUCUUUCUUGAUUUUUCUAGGGGGUUUUGUUCAAUGUUUCAUUGGUUUUCCCAGUUUGUUUCGUUUGCCACCUUUUUUUCUUUUUACAUCAAUCCAGAGCACAAGCCAGAGUGACCUAUAGUAAAGCACUACUGUACUGGUAUAGUGCCAAAUGGCGGCAGCGCUACCACAAUCAUCGUGCUACUGGUCGGAUAUUUGUUGCAUCUCUGGUCAAAUCUGCAUAAUUUGGCUUUUAGUUUGGAAUUGCAUGUGAUGU